rnacentral:rRNA from 1 species
GAGUUUGAUCCUGGCUCAGAUUGAACGCUGGCGGCAUGCCUUACACAUGCAAGUCGAACGGCAGCACGGGAGCUUGCUCCUGGUGGCGAGUGGCGAACGGGUGAGUAAUGCAUCGGAACGUAUCCUGGAGUGGGGGAUAACGUAGCGAAAGUUACGCUAAUACCGCAUAUUCUGUGAGCAGGAAAGCGGGGGACCUUCGGGCCUCGCGCUCUUGGAGCGGCCGAUGUCGGAUUAGCUAGUUGGUGAGGUAAAGGCUCACCAAGGCGACGAUCCGUAGCAGGUCUGAGAGGAUGAUCUGCCACAUUGGAACUGAGACACGGUCCAGACUCCUACGGGAGGCAGCAGUGGGGAAUUUUGGACAAUGGGGGCAACCCUGAUCCAGCCAUGCCGCGUGAGUGAAGAAGGCCUCGG